UAGGGUUUCACCCGAAACCCUAAGCUCUGCCCCCAAGUUGUUUCUCUCUCCUCGCUUCAUAUAUGCUGGAAACGGCAAAAGUAAGGAACCACAUGGUAGUAUGGACUGCUGCAUGGCCGAGAAUGGCAAGAGCAUUUAUUGCUCUGCCAUUUCUCACCUAUUUCCGGCAAGGUUCAACCCCAAACACAAUUGAGUUGGUGGAGCAAGGAAGGCUUCUAAUUCCAUUCUCGACAAGGGCUGCGCAAAAGAAAGGUACAAAUACUCAGUUUGGUGAUCCUCCAGCUUAGGACUGCUACUCAGCUGCUUGGAGAGCUCCAUUGUUCUGGAGCUUGAGUCAUUUUGGUAUAGAUCCUUUGUCAUAGACCUUUUUAUACUCGUAGAGGUCUGUAGACAUAUGUGGGUUGUGUAUAUACGGUUUGGUCAGCUAUGCAGAUGUAGUUCGUUUUGGAUAUUCCCGUGUAUAGUGGCAGCCUUAUCGACUUACAUAAUUUGUUAUGUUUUAGUUAG